UGUAGCCUGGAAUGUUCGAUAUGCCUAUAUUUGAACCUACAGAGCCAAUACGGGAAUCCACGUACGCGGCCCAAUACCAUGCCUCAUUUAUAGUCUAUUUGCAGCAGAGGAAGGUAGGAAGCCCUGUCAGGAUACCCACCUAGCAAGAGCUAGGUGUCAAAUUACAGCUAAACGGCAUUUUGGGGCAACA
rnacentral:other from 1 species